GAACUUCACUUGAUCUCGAAUGCCCUCCUGCCACCAGAGAGAAGAAAUAGAGAAGAAGAAAUCCAUGACCUUUUUGAACGGGACAGCCUACAUAAUGACGAUCACAUCCCCCCUACAGUACUGAAGAAGGCCCCAACAUAGCACUCAUACUGGAAAAUGAAGAAUCAGAACUGACCUGAGACCUUAAAAGAGAAGGUGGUUCAUUUUCUUAAGGCUGCUUAGUAAAUAUCUCAGGAAGUCUGUCUUACAAUGCACUCUUAUUAAAGUCUACUCAGAAAUGAGAUGUCUUACCUUUGCGGAGGAUUAUAUAAGUACGCUUACAAAUUGCGAUGGAGAAUUUAAAGGUGUGGACAACUUCCACAGAUGCCUUGUCUGGAGAUGUUUGGCACCAAGGUCUCUGUUUCCUUCAUUUGCUUCCAUUCAGAUCAAUUGUACUUAAGGAGUUUUAUGUGUGGUUCACAAUCACUUCAGCCACUGUAUGUGCUUUUAAACCAGCUCAAAUCUCUGGGGUGGAACACCCCAGAGAUGUAGUUCAAAGCUAGAAUACACUUUGCAGUUGUCAUGGAG